UACGUAGGUGGCGAGCGUUGUCCGGAUUUAUUGGGCGUAAAGCGAGCGCAGGUGGUUUAUUAAGUCUGGUGUAAAAGGCAGUGGCUCAACCAGUGUAUGCAUCGGAAACUGGUAGACUUGAGUGCAGGAGAGGAGAGUGGAAUUCCAUGUGUAGCGGUGAAAUGCGUAGAUAUAUGGAGGAACACCGGUGGCGAAAGCGGCUCUCUGGCCUGUAACUGACACUGAGGCUCGAAAGCGUGGGGAGCAAACAGG
rnacentral:rRNA from 1 species